CAGACGGGUGAGUAACGCGUGGUCAACCUACCGUUGAGUGGGGGAUAACUAGCCGAAAGGUUAGCUAAUACCGCAUACGUCUCCGAGGGGCAUCCCUUGGCGAUAAAAGGAGCAAUCCGCUCGAUGACGGGACCGCGUCCCAUUAGCUAGAUGGUGGGGUAACGGCCUACCAUGGCACCGAUGGGUAGCUGGUUUGAGAGAGCGACCAGCCACACUGGGACUGAGAAACGGCCCAG
rnacentral:rRNA from 1 species